UACGUAGGGGGCAAGCGUUAUCCGGAAUUACUGGGUGUAAAGGGUGAGUAGGCGGAGAUACAAGCCAUAUGUGAAAGGCAGGGGCUCAACCCCUGGAUUGCAUAAGGAACUGUAUGACUAGAGUGCAGGAGAGGUAAGUGGAAUUCCUAGUGUAGCGGUAAAAUGCGUAGAUAUUAGGAGGAACACCAGUGGCGAAGGCGACUUACUGGACUGUAACUGACGCUGAGGCACGAAAGCGUGGGGAGCGAACAGG
rnacentral:rRNA from 1 species